rnacentral:tRNA from 1 species
ACCUCAAUGGCAGAGGGUUUGAGUGUAGACCAAGAGAUCCCUGGUUCAAAUCCGGG